GCUAGGCAUGGGGGUGUAUGCCUGUAAUCCCAGCUACUUGGGAGGCUGAGGCACAAGAAUCACUUGAACCCAGGAGGCCGAGGUUGCAGUGGGCUGAGAUCAUGCCACUGCACUCCAGCCUGGGAAACAGAGUGAGAUCUUGUCUCAA
rnacentral:sRNA from 1 species